CCACCCCUUCCCUGUGCGCCAGCCGCCGAAGCCGGAGAGCCGGGCAGGCGAGACUGGCAGGUACUGGGCUCUGUCGGAACAACGGUCGGGACAGCAGCCGGGGACGCGACGGCCUGGAUGAAGUCCUGCUCAUCGGGCGGCGGGCCGGACGUCAGCAUAUCGGCCAUGCCGGCGGGAGCGGUAAGCAACCGGCCGCUGCGAGUAAGGCCGGCCUCCAGCCCCAGCGGCUGCUCGGCCCCCUCCGCCACCGCGGCUUAAAGAGGCCGCCCCCGCCCCGCCCCGCACCCAGGAUGCCCCACGGGCGGGGCGGGGCCGGGCGGGCUGGCCAGGGAACUGCCCCGAGCUUCGCAGCUCCCAGGCACUGCUCCCGCAGGAUUCCAGCCUUGCUCCCAGUAUCCAGGUGGGAACAAGUCCCUGCCCACUUCCGACCAGAAGCGGCAGGCUGACGGCCUCCUCACCUAGGACCCAGUCCCCGAGGUGGCCAUCUCCAACUCCUCUGCUCCAGGCAACUUCGCCUGGUCACCGGAAUGGCCAAGUCCUGUCUCCCAGCACUGGCACACCCUCCUUUCUGGACUGCCAGAGCACCCUUCCUGGGAAACUUCAACCAUGCACCAUGAGCUGAAGUCUCUAACUCAAUCCUAAGACUGACCAGAGUGCACCAGAGGCUGGUGGCUACAGCAUAAAAGGACAGUGAACACAGCAGAUCACCAACCCCCCCAGCAGGGGCUGCUGAGAUGGCUGCUUGGACCCUUUGCGGUGGAGACCACAGAUGAUGCAGCUAGAAGUCAAACCUCCAAUCUUCGGCAGCUACCUGUUUCGAGCCAGCAGGUGGCACUGUGCUGUCUGCACUCACCUGCGACAGAAGAGUCCCUCCCUCACAGCAGAUACUGUCUGACCUAUCCAGUACAGACAACUGCAUACGCACACAUCCCGAGCCUAAGCAGCACCUGUGCUAAUGAAGGCAGACCAGA